AUUGAACGCUGGCGGCAGGCCUAACACAUGCGAGUCGAGCGGAUGAAGGGAGCUUGCUCCUGGAUUCAGCGGCGGACGGGUGAGUAAUGCCUAGGAAUCUGCCUGGUAGUGGGGGAUAACGUCCGGAAACGGGCGCUAAUACCGCAUACGUCCUGAGGGAGAAAGUGGGGGAUCUUCGGACCUCACGCUAUCAGAUGAGCCUAGGUCGGAUUAGCUAGUUGGUGGGGUAAAGGCCUACCAAGGCGACGAUCCGUAACUGGUCUGAGAGGAUGAUCAGUCACACUGGAAGUGAGACACGGUCCAGACUCCUACGGGAGGCAGCAGUGGGGAAUAUUGGACAAUGGGCGAAAGCCUGAUCCAGCCAUGCCGCGUGUGUGAAGAAGGUCUUCGGAUUGUAAAGCACUUUAAGUUGGGAGGAAGGACAGUAAGUUAAUACCUUGCUGUUUUGACGUUACCAACAGAAUAAGCACCGGCUAACUUCGUG
rnacentral:rRNA from 1 species